rnacentral:rRNA from 1 species
CGGAACGGGUGAGUAAUGCGUGACCAACCUGCCCCAUGCUCCAGAAUAGCUCUUGGAAACGGGUGGUAAUGCUGGAUGCUCCAACUUGACGCAUGUCUUGUUGGGAAAGUGUUUAGUGGCAUGGGAUGGGGUCGCGUCCUAUCAGCUUGUAGGCGGGGUAAUGGCCCACCUAGGCUUCGACGGGUAGCCGGCCUGAGAGGGCGGACGGCCACAUUGGGACUGAGAUACGGCCCAGACUCCUACGGAGGCAGCAGGU